CUUGAGGCGUGGCUUCCGGAGCUAACGCGUUAAGUCGACCGCCUGGGGAGUACGGCCGCAAGGUUAAAACUCAAAUGAAUUGACGGGGGCCCGCACAAGCGGUGGAGCAUGUGGUUUAAUUCGAUGCAACGCGAAGAACCUUACCUACUCUUGACAUCCAGAGAACUUUCCAGAGAUGGAUUGGUGCCUUCGGGAACUCUGAGACAGGUGCUGCAUGGCUGUCGUCAGCUCGUGUUGUGAAAUGUUGGGUUAAGUCCCGCAACGAGCGCAACCCUUAUCCUUUGUUGCCAGCGGUCCGGCCGGGAACUCAAAGGAGACUGCCAGUGAUAAACUGGAGGAAGGUGGGGAUGACGUCAAGUCAUCAUGGCCCUUACGAGUAGGGCUACACACGUGCUACAAUGGCGCAUACAAAGAGAAGCGACCUCGCGAGAGCAAGCGGACCUCAUAAAGUGCGUCGUAGUCCGGAUUGGAGUCUGCAACUCGACUCCAUGAAGUCGGAAUCGCUAGUAAUCGUAGAUCAGAAUGCUACGGUGAAUACGUUCCCGGGCCUUGUACACACCGCCCGUCACACCAUGGGAGUGGGUUGCAAAAGAAGUAGGUAGCUUAACCUUCGGGAGGGCGCUUACCCCUUUGUGAUUCAUGACUGGGGUGAAGUC
rnacentral:rRNA from 1 species